UACGUAGGUGACCAGCGUUGUCCGGAUUUACUGGGCGUAAAGAGCGCGCAGGCGGUCGUUCAAGUCGAGUGUGAAAGCCCCCGGCUCAACUGGGGAGGGUCACUCGAUACUGAUCGACUUGAAGGCAGGAGAGGGAAGCGGAAUUCCCGGUGUAGUGGUGAAAUGCGUAGAUAUUCGCAAGAACACCAGCGGCGAAGGCGGCUCACUGGCCCGGUACUGACGCUGAGGUGCGAAAGCGUGGGGAGCAAACAGG
rnacentral:rRNA from 1 species